UGGGGAAUUUUGCACAAUGGGGGAAACCCUGAUGCAGCGACGCCGCGUGAUUUAGAAGGCCUUCGGGUUGUAAAAAUCUUUUCUAUGGGAAGAAAAUGACAGUACCAUAGGAAUAAGGACCGGCUAAUUACGUGCCAGCAGCCGCGGUAAUACGUAAGGUCCGAGCGUUGUCCGGAAUCAUUGGGCGUAAAGGGUACGUAGGCGGGUAAGCAAGUUAGAAGUGAAAUCCUAUAGCUCAACUAUAGUAAGCUUUUAAAACUGCUCAUCUUGAGGGAUGGAAGGGAAAGUGGAAUUCCUAGUGUAGCGGUGAAAUGCGCAGAUAUUAGGAGGAAUACCGGUGGCGAAGGCGACUUUCUGGCCAUAACCUGACGCUGAGGUACGAAAGCGUGGGUAGCAGACAGG
rnacentral:rRNA from 1 species